UACGGAGGGGGCUAGCGUUGUUCGGAAUUACUGGGCGUAAAGCGCGCGUAGGCGGACCUGCAAGUCGGGGGUGAAAGCCCGAGGCUCAACCUCGGAACUGCCUUCGAUACUGCGGGUCUCGAGUCCGGGAGAGGUGAGUGGGAAUUCCUAGUGUAGAGGUGAAAUUCGUAGAUAUUAGGAAGAACACCAGUGGCGAAGGCGGCUACACCUGG
rnacentral:rRNA from 1 species